rnacentral:piRNA from 1 species
UAGCUGAAUGAUUUUAAAUGGGCCUAAAU